rnacentral:rRNA from 1 species
UGUUAUGACCAUAUCACAUUUAAAAUGUCAAUUCUUGCCUGAUCAUUGAGGUUAAGCAAAGUCCAGUCUAGUUGGUACUUCAGUGGAUGACUACUUGGGUAAUCUAGGUACUGUAAACA